AAUUUUUUACUUGUGAAAACGGGGCUUAAAUCAGAAGCACGUGGCUGAUCGCUAGGCAAAGAGAGGUAGAGAACAAGGACGCAAUUCUUUUCUAGCCAAAAUUUUGCCUUCAAUGCCACGAAUAUCACCAUAUAUCUAAUGCAGCAUAGACUGACAGACAAAAUUGUGAUCUCUUUACUUUAAAAUCUAAAAAUAAACCCCCAAAAGAAAAAAAAAAAAAAGUUAACGAAAACAAGUUUUUAGCGUUUUAAUAGGCAUAAAUCAAGCACCACAGCACCCUCUCAACUCCGACGGCAUAUGUUGACAACUUGUCUAUUCCUCUUCUUGACACCAGAUUUUGCAACUUUAAGGCUUUGAUGCACACCACUCAACCGCAUUCUUCAGAUCUGGCUGGUAGUAGUUAUCUCCAACCUGCAAAUGUUUGCAAUAGCAGAGGAGAGGAGAUAAUAUGAAAAAAAAAAAAAAAAACUCCACUAUUGUCAACAAUCACAAACACAGUUCACCAUCUGCAGUGGCAAGACUAUUCAGAACAUGACUAGCUUAACUGAGCAUACCAACUUCAUACUAACGUGUACGAAGCUAGCAGUUAUCACCAAUGAUGUAAGGAAAAAUCAUUAGAGCAACAAUUUUAAUUGUAAGCUCAGAAGCCAAGCGUAACUAGUGAAUUUCAUUGGAGAAACCAUUAAGACAGGUUUCUUCUUACAAGUUAGUGCUUCAUCACUGCUAAGGAGGAAAAAGGUGGUAAAAAGCUAAAUAACGAAUUCAAAUUGGAAGUAAUCAGGCACUAUGCCUUUUGGCCAAUUUCUGGAAAAACAUAUUGAAAAUCCAACUGUUAUUACAUGACCAAAGAUAAAGAAAUUCAAAUCAAGAUUAAGAAGCUUCCUUCAUUCACUUAGCAAACAAAAUCUAAAAUACAAUACAAAUGAUAGUAAGCAUUCAUCCAAGUGAUGGACCAAGGAAGCAUUAGAAAAUGAAAAUCAUGCUAGAUAAAAGCAACAGACUUCUAAAUUACCCGAUUAGCUAUCACCUUUGCCAUUCUGUGGAUCUCAUGUUUCAUAACAGAUUUGUGAAGUAAUGCAAUGGGUUUAUUCUGUUUUUUGGUUUUAGUCGUCGCAAGCACCACAACUUGAUCUUUCCCAGGUUGAAUGGUAACUGUUUUCUAGUUAGCCAAUCCUAACACAGAACCACACUGUAAGACUCUCAAGCAGACUAUUUUUUUUUAAAAUGAGAUCUCAAUCAGACUAGUUAACCAAGCUCUAGACUCAAUUAAGAAAUGCAAUUGAAACUUCAAAUCAGAGGCCAAACUUCAAAUUCUACUUAAACCAAAAACUGUAAGAACUUAAUAACACUAUCUUUGGACUCAAAACAAUCAGCAUCCAAGGUUCAUUUUCUAGGGUAUCAAACAGUAAGGAAUCAUCGAAUCCAAAAAAAUCAUUUCACAUAAACACAAUAAUAAAAUGUCAAAAUUCAAAAACUAAGAUCUUCAUCUAUUCUUUAGCAUACAAGAAGAAGCUCAAAUCAAAUUUCCUCAACAAGCAAAGCAGUUCAGCAAUAACCUAAGCAACCAAACACCACCCACUUACAAGCUUAAUUUUUUUUCCCCUAUUCCCACAAAACCAACCAAAAACAAAAGUAGAGCAUUCAAUUUUUCUCCCCCCAAAUUUACAAACAGAACAUGUGAUUACAGCGCUUGAAAGUGUUAAGAUUUGUAGAGAUUGUUAGUCUCUUUGCUAAACUGAACACUAGCAGAUCCUCUUCCAAACUCCUUCACCAAAAAACAGUUGUUCUUCUUCACAAUCUCCAUAUCAACUGCGCCCCCACUGUUGCCAGCUUCUGUUAACCUACACUUCCCCAAAACCAAACCAAAUCACCACAAAAUCAAAAUCCCAUUAAUCUUAAAUUACAGAGUCUAGAAAACAAAUACCAUCGAAUCAUAGAGAUCGUAGCUGUCUGGGAUUCUGGUUUUGAUUGAUUUGGAUAUCUCGAGUGGAGGCUGAUAGGGUUUUACUUCUAAAAUGAAGCCAUAAACCCUAAUGUAGUUCUCUUUUUAAUUUUAAGAGUUCUAUUACUUGGAGGGUAGGGUUAAUUUCCAAUUAUUACGGUUCUGUCCAGUAAAAUUUU
rnacentral:lncRNA from 1 species